rnacentral:misc_RNA from 1 species
GAUGAAGACGCAGCGAAAUGCGAUAAGUAAUGUGAAUUGCAGAAUUCAGUGAAUCAUCGAAUCUUUGAACGCACAUUGCGCCCCCUGGUAUUCCGGGGGGCAUGCCUGUCCGAGCGUCAUUACAACCCUCAAGCUCAGCUUGGUGUUGGGCCCCGCCGCCCCGGCGGGCCCUAAAGUCAGUGGCGGUGCCGUCCGGCUCCGAGCGUAGUAAUUCUUCUCGCUCUGGAGGUCCGGUCGUGUGCUCGCCAGCAACCCCCAAUUUUUUUCAGGUUGACCUCGGAUCAGGUAGGGAUACCCGCUGAACUUAAGCAUAUCAAUAAGCGGAGGA